UCGCCUCCACCUCCGCUCCAGGCAACCCUCGGUCACCGGCUCGCUGGAGCACGACGGCAGACGAUGGAUGCCCUGGUUGUGUGCGACGGUUGCAGUUCUUACGCGCAAGCUAGGGUUGGAGCCGCCAGCUCUUCAUCCUGCCCGCCGGAGGCGAGUCUUCCCGUCCCGCACUGCCGCCUCCCCGUUAUCACAGCAUGGUCAAAACAAUGGUGCCUUCACCCUUGCUCGUGCCUCAACCCACAUGGUCAUCUUUGAGACGUGGUAUUCAGUCACAUGACAGAGUUCUCUUUAUCCUUGAGGUCAGGUGCGGCAACUAGCGACAUGUGCUGGAACUUCUGGCUUCGCUGGCGGCGGCAUCACCUGCAUCGACCUCUCCCUGGUCGCCUUCGAGAGUGUGUGCGGCCGACCAUCAAGCUUGUUAUGACGCACUUUGAAUUUCCGAGCAAGUCGCAGCCUUUUCAGAUUCAUCAACACAGGUUACAUCAGUAGUCAAUAUGGUUCAGAUGCAUAAUAGUACGUACUUCAUUUCCUUUUUGUUGUGUACGGUGUCCUACAACAUGGAUCAUAUAUAUCGGUUAUCUUUCAGGUUCAGUUUGCUGUGGCAAAUUCUUCUUGAAUUUGUUGCAGCAAACUUGUGGUCAUGUAUGGUUUUUAGUUUUGCAAGCAUGCAUAGUUUAGAAGUUAGAAAGCUCGUUCAUGUAUUGUUCUAAACUGAAAGUUUAAGUGGCUUUUCCACCCAUGGUAUUGUGGUGGUCAUAAUAGCACACCUCACAAUUAUUAUGGCC